rnacentral:rRNA from 1 species
CCUACGGGAGGCAGCAGUGAGGAAUAUUGGUCAAUGGGCGAGAGCCUGAACCAGCCAAGUCGCGUGAGGGAGUACUGCCCUAUGGGUUGUAAACCUCUUUUGUCGGGGAGCAAAAGCUGGACGUGUCCGGCUGUGAGAGUACCCGAAGAAAAAGCAUCGGCUAACUCCGUGCCAGCAGCCGCGGUAAUACGGAGGAUGCGAGCGUUAUCCGGAUUUAUUGGGUUUAAGGGGUGCGCAGGCGGAUUUUUAAGUCAGCGGUAAAAUCGUGGGGCUCAACCCCAUCCAGCCGUUGAAACUGGGGAUCUAGAGUGUGCGAGAGGUAUGCGGAAUGCGUGGUGUAGCGGUGAAAUGCAUAGAUAUCACGCAGAACCCCGAUUGCGAAGGCAGCAUACCGGUGCACAACUGACGCUCAGGCACGAAAGCGUGGGUAUCGAACAGGAUUAGAUACCCUUGUAGUC